GUAGACGUGAUGGAGCAGGGCUCUCCGAAAAUGUGUGGUAUAUUUAUAACUACUUCUGGCUGGUUUUUUGCCAUGGAAAUGCUCCGUGGUGAUGGUGUGAUGGGGUAAACAAUUAGAUGGGGACCUGACCAGGACGGCUGGGCAUGACUGACGCUGAGUCCACACCAGUUCAACGUACAAGAGAACAUGGGCGAACGACCUGAACUUUAUCAAUCACUUGGGCGACGUCUAUAGCUGACCACACGGACCAUCCCUCUACGGCUCUGGGACAGCGGCACAUCAACGUAGAUGGCGAUACACCUGAGGUUCACGCACCGGGACUCACUCAUUUGUGAAUGGUGGUAAUGAUUCAGUGGCUUCCAAUAUGCGACAAUCGUGUGAUUGGUAUUUGAACUGUGUACUGGAUUGGUAUUUGAACUGUGUACUGGAACUGUGAACUUUAACUGUUAUGGAACUUUCAGUGUAAUUGUAUAGCCGGUAGUAAUAUACUCACAGUGAAUAGGAUAGAAUAGUAGGAAGUCAAUUAAUAUUUCUUAACCUAUAUUUAUUGGAAAUGUUCUCUAGCGGACGUAGUGAAUCAGUAAUGCCAGAUAAUUUAUGGCAGUGGUCAUUCUAGUCAUAUCUUUAAUUGCUGGGUAAACUCUGUGGCCAGUAUUGUUAUUUUUAAGCUGGUUUGAGGUGAGGUGAGAUCUUAGCACAUCAGAUGAAAUAUUCUGUUAAACUGUGUAUUGUUUCCUUGUUGUAUUUUUGUAUAUAAAUUUGUUAUUCAAAAUUUA